rnacentral:rRNA from 1 species
GACGAACGCUGGCGGCGUGCCUAACACAUGCAAGUCGAACGGGGUCGUUCUUGGUGGCAACACCUUGGACGGCCUAGUGGCGAACGGGUGAGUAACACGUGAGGAACCUGCCCCGAAGACCGGGAUAACAGAAGGAAACUUCUGCUAAUACCGGAUACCCCCACCGAAUCGCAUGGUUUGGUGAGGAAAUGGAUUCCGCUUCGGGAGGGCCUCGCGGCCUAUCAGCUAGUUGGUGGGGUAACGGCCUACCAAGGCAUCGACGGGUAGCUGGUCUGAGAGGACGAUCAGCCACACUGGGACUGAGACACGGCCCAGACUCCUACGGGAGGCAGCAGUGGGGAAUCUUGCGCAAUGGGCGAAAGCCUGACGCAGCAACGCCGCGUGCGGGAUGAAGGCCCUCGGGUUGUAAACCGCUUUCAGCAGGGACGAAGAUGACGGUACCUGCAGAAGAAGCCCCGGCCAACUACGUG